AGAGUUUGAUCCUGGCUCAGGGCGAACGCUGGCGGCGUGCCUAACACAUGCAAGUCGUGGGAGAAAGCCUCCUUCGGGAGGUGAGUACACCGGCGGAUGGGUGCGUAACACGUGAGCAACCUGCCUGGCAGAGGGGGAUAACUCGGGGAAACCCGGGCUAAUACCCCAUAACGUGUCUUCUUCGCAUGGAGAGGUCACCAAAGGGGGCGAUCCUUCGGGAGCUCUCACUGUCAGAUGGGCUCGCGGCUUAUCAGCUUGUUGGUGAGGUAACGGCUCACCAAGGCUAUGACGGGUAGCUGGUCUUAGCGGAUGAUCAGCCACACGGGGACUGAGACACGGCCCCGACUCCUACGGGAGGCAGCAGUGGGGAAUUUUGGACAAUGGGCGAAAGCCUGAUCCAGCGACGCCGCGUGCGGGAGGAAGCCCUUCGGGGUGUAAACCGCUGUCAGGGGGGAAGAACCGGUCCGGGCGAAUAGCCCGGAAAACUGACGGUACCCCCAGAGGAAGCGCCGGCUAACUCCGUGCCAGCAGCCGCGGUAAUACGGAGGGCGCAAGCGUUGUCCGGAAUUACUGGGCGUAAAGGGGGCGCAGGUGGCUUGGUAAGUCCUAUGUGAAAGCCCGCGGCUCAACCGCGGAAUGCCAUAGGAUACUGCCGAGCUUGA
rnacentral:rRNA from 1 species